AAUUAAAAGUAGAUAUUAAUUGACAUCGUACAAUAUCCUAACUUCUUUAGACCAAUAAUGAAAUUAAUUCAUAAGGAUUUACUUCCACUUGAAGUGGAUUUAGAAACCACCCAGGAAAGUACCUAAGUGGGGCCUUGCUGAUCCAAUCAGUCACCUUCUUCCCACUCCUACGAAUAAAUAAAAAUUCACAAUCAUUAAAUCCCCCACAGCAAGUAGCCAAAUAUCCUCUACAAUUAAUCUAAUUUUCCAAGGAGGCUCCUCUUUGUGAUUAUUACAGCUUUCAGCAAUCACUGAGUCGUCAGACUCACAAAUCACCCUUCUCCUUCUGCAGUUGGAAUGGUUUGCCAAUGCCAAUCUGCUUUUUUACUGCCUAACUGAACCAAAAACAAGACUGCCCCGAGUAUUGCAACAUACAACAUCUCAAAUAGCAAGAUUACUUUUCACCCUAAAUGAUGCAUCAGAAUUCAGUUUGAUCCAUCCUCUUUCAGGAGGCUGCCACAUCAAACUUGGAAGGGAGGGAUUACUAGCAACUUUGUUUACCCAAUUAGACUGCUCUUGUAUAGCAUUCAACUUAAUAAACACUUCUAGCUCUGCUCAAAUCAAAUUCUGAAUUAGAGAUGGAGUAGUACCUUGGAAAUAGGCAGCAUUCCUAGCGAGCCAAGUUUAAGAAGGUCUCCCUGGUCCAAACCUUUUAGUUUGCUUCUUUUUUUCUUUUUUUUCUGAUUAAGCUGUUAGUUUGCUUUUGAACCUUGAAAUCUGUGUAGUUGUCAGGAGUAUGAUAAAGCCCCAAUGGACUUCCAUACCAUGAAGCCCUAGCAUGCUCAAACCGGAUUAAGAAUGAAAUAAUUGGUUUCGAUAUCAUAUAACAGGCAGAUAUUUUGGUGCAAGAAUGUGGAGAUUGAAAUUCAAGGAAGACUCAUCAUAUUCCAAGAAACUUCUCGUGUUUUUAGCAUUAGCAAAAGCGAUCUCCGCCGUCUUAUGGAUUGGUUGAAAAGUUUGAAAGAAAAACAAAAUAUUGUUCUAGGCAGUAUGAUCUCAGUUGGUACCGGAUUCGAAGGAUUAGUACAAAGUUGCUCAAGUCUUUCCCAAGAAUGCCCCUGCAAACCUGCACUUGAUAUUGCACAACUUUGGGGACAAUGAUUCAGUGCAACCUAACUCAACAGGCAUUGGUCCUCCUCCUGUUCCACUUCCUGAAUGCAUUGAGAAUAUGAAGAAGAUUGCUCAACCUCUCUAGUGUAAAGUUUCUAUACAUCUUGGACUAGCAUUUUAAAUUAUAUCUGUUGCUAAUUAAAUGGCAGAGCCUUUCUGAGAAGACUCCCUUUCAUCUUUCUCAGUGCCCCCCUGCCAAUGAGGAAAUGAUCUGUCAAUAUUUCGGAUUUGUUAUUUGUUUCUCUGGCAUAUAUAUUCGUUAUAAGUUUGCUUGUUCACCAGUGGCGACACUGAUUGAACCAAUGAAGCCUGCCAAAUAUAUCCAGAAGCUUGUUUGAAGAUGUGUCAGGAAACAGAGGUGACUGUUUGUCUUAGAGUUUGUAAGUUUGGACCGCAAUGCAGCAACAGGAUGGUUAUUGGUUGACUGUUUGCUUUACAUGGGUGUUUCUUUUCACAAGGUAUCAGCCAUUAUCAAAGGGAAGAAAGUCCCCAAUCUCCUAGGUUACAAGAUAGACAUUUCAUUGCAAAGACUAAAAGCUUGAUGAUGCUAUACUUGAUUCUUUUUCUGACAGGGAUGGAAUCCAUCUUUCAGAAGAGGGUAGCAAAAUAGUGGUGAAGGAGAUAAUCGAAAUACUUACAGAAGCAGAUUAGAGAGCAGACCUGCAGUGGAAGGCACUGCAAGUGAAUUUGUAGGAGUUGUACCCUCAGAUCUGGAAGCCGAAGAGGCCCUUACUAUCAAAACUCAAAAAACUGCAAGGGGAAUUGGAUCUAGAAAGAGUAAAGCUUAAUAAUCACCACUGAUCUCACUCCCUUUUUGGUUUUGUUUGUAUGAUAUUUGAGUAUUCUGGAGGUGACAUUGGAUUGCUCCAGUCCAAUCUUGACCUCCAUCCAUAGUUGGAAGGCAGCUUAUUCAAUAAAAAUUCUUAAUAGGGAAAAAAAAUUCUUUCUAGUA